UAGGUGGAAACCAGUCAGAGACUGAAGUCAGGCAGAAACAACAGCUCCAACUGAUGCAGUCUAAAUACCAGCAAAAGCUAAAAAGAGAAGAAUCUGUAAGAAUCAAGAAGGAAGCUGAAGAAGCUGAACUUCAAAAAAUGAAAGCAAUUCAGAGAGAGAAGAGCAAUAAACUAGAGGAGAAAAAGAGACUUCAAGAAAACCUCAGAAGAGAAGCAUUUAGAGAGCAUCAGCAAUA